rnacentral:rRNA from 1 species
GACGAACGCUGGCGGCGUGCUUAACACAUGCCAGUCGAACGGAAAGGCGCGGCGUUUGUUGGUUGCUCGAGUGGCGAACGGGGGAGUAAAACGUGAGGAUCAUGCCCUUGACUUUGGGAUAACUUCAGGGAACUGGGGCGAAAAUCGGGUAGAAUCUCCUGCUGCGUGGGGUGGGUUGGAAAGUGUCGGCGGUUGGGGCUGGAUUCGCGGGUUAUGAGCUUGUUUGUGAGGUAGGGGCGUCCCAGGGCUUUGACGGGUAGCCGGCAUUGGAGCGUGACCGGCCACAUGGGGACUACGGUACGGCCCAGACUCCUACCGGAGGCAGCAGUGGGGAAUAUUGCACAACGGGCCGGAGCCAGAUGCAGCAACGCCGCGUGCGGGAUGCCGGCCUUCGGGUUGUAAACCGAUUUCGACUGUGCCGAACCGUGAGUGACGGUAACGGGUCAAGAAGCAACGGCUAACUACGUG